rnacentral:tRNA from 1 species
CAGAGGGUAGUUUAAUUAAAAUGUUAACUUUGGAGGUUAUUGAUGAGUUUUUCUUUCCUCUGA